rnacentral:rRNA from 1 species
GAUGAACGCUGGCGGCGUGCCUAAUACAUGCAAGUCGAGCGGUAAGGCUUUCACAGUUCCCAUCUCUCUCAUUUAUUUGAGGAAUAGAGGUGUGAAGCGUGAAAGUACACGAGCGGCGGACGGCUGAGUAACACGUAGGAACCUACCCAAACUGAGGGAUAACUGCUCGAAAGAGUAGCUAAUACCGCAUACCUUCUUCGGAAGAAAGCUACGGCGGUUUGGGAAGGCCUGCGUAAGAUUAGCUUGUUGGUGAGGUAACGGCUCACCAAGGCGACGAUCUUUAGUCUGGUCUGAGAGGGAUGAUCAGCCAGACUGGGACUGAGACACGGCCCAGACUCCUACGGGAGGCAGCAGUAGGGAAUUUCUACAAUGGGGCGAACCCUGAUGGAGCAACGCCGCGUGCAGGAUGAAGGC